rnacentral:rRNA from 1 species
AGCUUGCUCUGUGGGAUCAGUGGCGAACGGGUGAGUAACACGUGAGCAACCUGCCCCUGACUCUGGGAUAAGCGCUGGAAACGGCGUCUAAUACUGGAUAUGUGACGUGACCGCAUGGUCUGCGUCUGGAAAGAAUUUCGGUUGGGGAUGGGCUCGCGGCCUAUCAGCUUGUUGGUGAGGUAAUGGCUCACCAAGGCGUCGACGGGUAGCCGGCCUGAGAGGGUGACCGGCCACACUGGGACUGAGACACGGCCCAGACUCCUACGGGAGGCAGCAGUGGGGAAUAUUGCACAAUGGGCGCAAGCCUGAUGCAGCAACGCCGCGUGAGGGACGACGGCCUUCGGGUUGUAAACCUCUUUUAGCAGGGAAGAAGCGAAAGUGACGGUACCUGCAGAAAAAGCGCCGGCUAACUACGUGCCAGCAGCCGCGGUAAUACGUAGGGCGCAAGCGUUAUCCGGAAUUAUUGGGCGUAAAGAGCUCGUAGGCGGUUUGUCGCGUCUGCUGUGAAAUCCGGAGGCUCAACCUCCGGCCUGCAGUGGGUACGGGCAGACUAGAGUGCGGUAGGGGAGAUUGGAAUUCCUGGUGUAGCGGUGGAAUGCGCAGAUAUCAGGAGGAACACCGAUGGCGAAGGCAGAUCUCUGGGCCGUAACUGACGCUGAGGAGCGAAAGGGUGGGGAGCAAACAGGCUUAGAUACCCUGGU